rnacentral:lncRNA from 10 species
CCUCUCUCUUGCUCUUGCUUGCUUGCACUGAUGAAGUAAGCUGCCACGUUGUGAGAUGCUCAACGAAGAGGCCCAUGAGGCAGGGCACCGAGGGAGGCUUCUGGCCAACAGCUCCUGGGGAACCAAGGCCUUAGGAAGUGAGUCCUGCCAACAAUAACGAGAGCCUUGAACUUUGAAACCACAGUACCUUGUUCCAGCGUGGAAAGCAGCGUGGCACUUCCCGGUGGUGAAAGCACCCCAGCUUGAAAGGGUGAAAACACCUUCUCCCAGAUAGUCUCCCUUUGUUUAGCCAGUGCUUUUGCCUUAAGGAAAUCAAAUGAAGGGGUCAGCCAGGAGUGGAUCUGGAAGCUGGAGAACUCUCAAUACGCCACUUCAGUUUAUUGACGACAUUUAUAAUUGCAACCGAAGUUGACUGAUUUCUGCUAAAUGAAAGUUUGCGCUUUGCCCUUUAGCAUUGAGGCUCCUGGAAAGAACUUCAAUGAAAUUGGAUGCAUUGAGACCAAAGAAAAGAAGGGGACAUUUUUAUCUCUCUGAUACCUUUCUCCCCAGGGCUUGGAAACACUUCUUAAACACAACCUCUAAUGUUGGUGUUUUGUAAGUACUACCCCUAUGAAUAAAGCUAGCAGAGAUAAGCUUCUCCUUGCAGGAAGUGAGCUGGAGAAGUGGAAAAGUUUACAGAGAAAACUCUACAACAAAGACUUAACCCUUCCCGGGUAACCACGAAUGUGAGCGUCUGCCCCUCCUUUGCUUUCUACUGCGCAACCAAACUGUGCACAAG